GCACCUACGGGACGCAGCAGUGGGGAAUAUUGGACAAUGGGGGGAACCCUGAUCCAGCGACGCCGCGUGAGUGAAGAAGUAUUUCGGUAUGUAAAGCUCUCUCAGCAGGGAAGAAAGAAAUGACGGUACCUGACUAAGAAGCCCCGGCUAACUACGUGCCAGCAGCCGCGGUAAUACGUGGGGGGCAAGCGUUAUCCGGAUUUACUGGGUGUAAAGGGCGCGUAGGCGGUUUAAUAAGUCAGUGGUGAAAACUGAGGGCUCAACCCUCAGCCUGCCAC
rnacentral:rRNA from 1 species